rnacentral:rRNA from 1 species
AACGAACGCUGGCGGCAUGCCUAACACAUGCAAGUCGAACGAGACCUUCGGGUCUAGUGGCGCACGGGUGCGUAACGCGUGGGAACCUGCCCUUAGGUUCGGAAUAACUCCCCGAAAGGGGUGCUAAUACCGGAUAAUGUCUUCGGACCAAAGAUUUAUCGCCUUUGGAUGGGCCCGCGUUGGAUUAGCUAGUUGGUAGGGUAAAAGCCUACCAAGGCGACGAUCCAUAGCUGGUCUGAGAGGAUGAUCAGCCACACUGGGACUGGGACACGGCCCAGACUCCUACGGGAGGCAGCAGUGCGGAAUAUUGGACAAUGGGCGAAAGCCUGAUCCAGCAAUGCCGCGUGAGUGAUGAAGGCCUUAGGGUUGUAAAGCUCUUUUACCCGGGAUGAUAAUGACAGUACCGGGAGAAUAAGCUCCGGCUAACUCCGUG